UACGAAGGGGGCUAGCGUUGCUCGGAAUCACUGGGCGUAAAGCGCACGUAGGCGGCUUUUUAAGUCAGGGGUGAAAUCCUGGAGCUCAACUCCAGAACUGCCUUUGAUACUGGGAAGCUUGAGUCCGGGAGAGGUGAGUGGAACUCCGAGUGUAGAGGUGAAAUUCGUAGAUAUUGGAAGAACACCAGUGGCGAAGGCGGUUCACUGGCCCGGUACUGACGCUGAGGCACGAAAGCGUGGGGAGCAAACAGG
rnacentral:rRNA from 1 species